rnacentral:rRNA from 1 species
GGGGGGGGGGGGGGGGGGGGGGGGGGGGGGGAGGGGGGGGGGGGGGGCGGGGCGUGGGCCGGGGGCUCGGGGGCGAGCGGGUGGGGGGCACGUGAGCACCCUGCCCCGGACGCGGGGGUAAGCGCUGGGCACGGCGGCGGAUACCGGGUAUGUGACGUGACCGCCUGGUCCGCGGUUGGAAAGAUUCUUCGGUUGGGGAUGGGCUCGCGGCCUAUCAGCUUGUUGGUGCGGUAAUGGCUCACCAAGGCGUCGACGGGUAGCCGGCCUGAGAGGGUGACCGGCCACACUGGGACUGAGACACGGCCCAGACUCCUACGGGAGGCAGCAGUGGGGAAUAUUGCACAAUGGGCGCAAGCCUGAUGCAGCAACGCCGCGUGCGGGAUGACGGCCUUCGGGUUGUAAACCUCUUUUAGCAGGGAAGAAGCGAGAGUGACGGUACCUGGAGAAAAAGCGCCGGCUAACUACGUG